UACGAAGGGGGCUAGCGUUGCUCGGAAUCACUGGGCGUAAAGCGCACGUAGGCGGAUUGUUAAGUCAGGGGUGAAAUCCUGGAGCUCAACUCCAGAACUGCCUUUGAUACUGGCGAUCUCGAGUCCGGGAGAGGUGAGUGGAACUGCGAGUGUAGAGGUGAAAUUCGUAGAUAUUCGCAAGAACACCAGUGGCGAAGGCGGCUCACUGGUCCGAUACUGACGCUGAGGCACGAAAGCGUGGGGAGCAAACAGG
rnacentral:rRNA from 1 species